CCAAUAGCGUAUAUUAAAGUUGUUGCAGUUAAAAAGCUCGUAGUUGAAUUUCGGGAUCAAUAUGUCGGUCGUGCUUCGGUACGUACUGGCGUUAUUGGUUUCUCCCUUCUGAAGAACCGCGAUGUCAUUAAUUUGGUGUCGUGGGGAAUCAGGACUGUUACUUUGAAAAAAUUAGAGUGUUUAAAGCAGGCUCGCGCUUGAAUACAUUAGCAUGGAAUAAUGAAAUAGGACGUUUGAUUCUAUUUUGUUGGUUUCUAGGAUCGACGUAAUGAUUAAUAGGGAUAGUUGGGGGCAUUAGUAUUCAAUUGUCAGAGGUGAAAUUCUUGGAUUUAUUGAAGACUAACUACUGCGAAAGCAUUUGCCAAGGAUGUUUUCAUUAAUCAAGAACGAAAGUUAGGGGAUCGAAGACGAUCAGAUACCGUCGUAGUCUUAACCAUAAACUAUGCCGACUAGGGAUCGGAUGAUGUUGAUUUUUUAAUGACUCAUUCGGCGCCUUACG
rnacentral:rRNA from 1 species